CAGCCGCCACGGGAAUACAGAGGGUGCGAGCGUUAAUCGGAUUUACUGGGCGUAAAGCGUGCGUAGGCGGCUUUUUAAGUCGGAUGUGAAAUCCCUGAGCUUAACUUAGGAAUUGCAUUCGAUACUGGGAAGCUAGAGUAUGGGAGAGGAUGGUAGAAUUCCAGGUGUAGCGGUGAAAUGCGUAGAGAUCUGGAGGAAUACCGAUGGCGAAGGCAGCCAUCUGGCCUAAUACUGACGCUGAGGUACGAAAGCAUGGGGAGCAAACAGGAUUAGUUACCCGAGUAGUCCCUGUCUCUUAUAC
rnacentral:rRNA from 1 species